GGUUCGGCCGAGCAGGAAGUCAAGCCGGAUAGCAGCAAUCAAGUUGAAGAGGGCAAGGCAGUCCACUCGGAGUAUGCCAGGCCCCCGUCACCAGCCACCUGAUGGACGUGGUUUGCUGCUUUCGUGAGCCCUGUGGACGUCCGACAGGACUCGGUGAUGAAGCCUUUGCUUUUUCUGUUUAAAGGUGGCACCCGGGUAGCCUUUGGCAAUGGCGGAGGAGUUGCAGCGGACCCUGCGACGACAGCGUGGCCUCCGAGCACGGCGCAAUCGUGCCGCCCGAGGACCCGGGCAUUCUUAGGAGAGCGGAGACUACGAGACAACAGCCCAGUGACAGCAGGAACUUCCCAGAUGGCGAGGCGGCCUUCCUUUGCACCUGACACGGA